GUGUAAGCGCAGCGAUGCGUUGAGCUAACCGGUACUAAUGAACCGUGAGGCUUAACCUUACAACGCCAAAG
rnacentral:rRNA from 1 species